UUGAAGCAAGCCUCGAAGCGGCGCUUCGAUCUCCAGUGCUUCGAAAGCUCGACACAGUGUCGAAACCUGAGUAUCGAGCGGCCCAUCACUAACCUCCACACAACCGAAUAUAAAUGCUACUCAGAACACCACCACCGAAAAAAGGAUCAACUUACUGUCGCUACUCUGUUUUUUUUUUUUUGAGCGAGACAGCUGAGAAAGCGGGCGAGUGUUCAACGCGCAGUGUCGCAACACUAAACGUUUUGCGCAUACGCCCGAGGAUAUGGCAAAAAACUAAAAGGAGAAAGGACACGACGCAACGCUCAGUUCCUCCAUUAAUGUAGGCGAAGUUCUUUAGAAAAAAUGAACCAACCGAUAUACGUAAGAGCAAAUGUACCAGGAUUGGCGAUCAUUUUGAGAAAUAAUGUAUCUUCACAAGAAGCAAAGAAAAGAACUGGUAUGAGGAGGAAAAUCCGAGGCAAAAAAGAAAGGAAAGCCAUGUUUGUGAACAAAUGAUCGACUGAUGAAAUUCAACAAUUCAUAGCAGAUUAAAAUCUCUUGCAAUAUAAUAAAACUCGGAAUGAUGACAGUUUUGGAGCGAGGGCACCAUAUGAUAAUACCCAAAUGGGCGGCAUUUUUUUAGUAGGCCUACUCCCAUUCUGUAGAUCGUCGGAGUGCCCCUCGUUUAAUCCGAAGGCGGAGCUUGUUGGAUCAUAUGAUGAAUUUGAAUGAACGAAGACAAACACUCGUGGGAUUUAAAGCACAAGGAGAAUGGUAGUAGGAGUCAAAAGCCGUGCGGAUGAUACUUUGUCAUGAAGAUGUUUUAAGUUACGAACUGACCCUGACCUUGAAAGCCAUCAUCUGACCUAUUUGAAGGCUGGGUGACUUUACUGACAACUCACAAGAGGAACGGUGACCUGAUCCUAUCCUGACCUUUACAAGAUACAAUGCCCAGCAAGUUUAUCAAAAGGUUUGUGGUUCAUGCCUCCCUCCUUAUAGUUACUGUGUUAUCACAAACAUUGUGCAAGGGUGAGAUUACAGUGACGACCAAGUUACACAGCAUCGCAAUGCUUGAAUGUUCAACAGCUAAAGCUGAUUCAAUGCAACAGAUAACUUGGACCUUGAAUGGUACUACAAUACAGGAUUCACAAAGGCUUCAUACUGUCAAUUCUAGAUAUGAAAUUAUAAAAGAAGGAUCUGACAAACACACAGUUUAUCUUAAAAUUUCUAAUGUUCACAUGAGAGACCUUGGAACAUAUGUAUGUUUUUUAAAAUUUAGAGAAACAGUAGAAGAAUGUAAAGUUAUACUAGUGUUGUCUAAGAAUAUUCAAGCGAAAGGAAGAGCAGCUGAACGGAGUUUGAAUUUGAUUUGUUUAGGUGUGUGUUUGUUUUUUUUGUGUUUUUUUUUUUUUUAUAUAUAUUGAUGCUUAAAUGAUACACACCAGAAUAAAAACUGAAAAAGCACAAACGUGUACACAACCCUGCAUAGCCUACUUCACAUAGCAGAUGUGCUUGUAACUUUUUUUUAUUUAUUUCAGUGUGGUAUUAACCUCAUUUUCCCCUUUUUGUACAUAUACAAGUACCACUUAACUUGUAACACAGUUCGAUUUUGUCUUAAUCAGAAUAUGCCCACACUUAGUUGAUAUUAUAUGAACCAAAGCUACUCAAGUGCAUGAAUGCUACUCUGAGCAGUACAACAUUUAAAGCAUUAUUUGUUAGCAAAUAACACUAAUGAAGAAUAGUAGAAAUAAUAUAAUAACAUUCCAUAAAUUAUAAAGUGAAGUGGACUUGAAUGAAGCCAGCUGACACUGGGCAUUACUUGUGUGUAUUUUAUUUAAAGCAUUAUUGAAAAGUAGAUUGCUAGUUUUGCUGUAAGUCACUUUCAUAUUAGCAUUAAUGUGAAGUUUGUCUCUCCAAAGGAGCCGAAAGAGCUGCUUUUCAGUGUUAUUACUCAAAACACAACAGAAAACUGAUAUAUAGAAUUUGAUUUGUUUUAAGCACUUCAGGGACAUCAGGUUAUGUUUCUUUUUUUUUUUUAUCCUUCCCCUCUGUGCCCUUUCAGCUCUUUAUAAUCAUGGAUGUGAAGCAAAAUCAUUUAAUUGGUUAUUUUUUAACAGUUAAUUGGAGUUUUAUGUAUUCAUUAAGGGUUAAAGUAAGUUCAUGUGCAAUUGUCAACACGUAUUGUCUAUUUUCAGUUUAUUCUUUUGGUGCAGUUAUGACAGGCCAAUUGCUCCAAUUUGAUAUUCAUGUCCAAGCCUGUACUCCUUGUAAAUCCUGUUUACAGGGUGUGUCUCUUUGUUACAAUAUGAAUUGUUCACUAAAAACUGAAAAGGAAUGUACUAAAUUUAAUAAUGAUUAGAUUUUGUUAAAUGAAGGAAUUUUGUCCAUUUUCCUUCCUAAAUUAAAUCUGGUAUGUGAAAAAAGUAAAGACUAGUGAGCAAACUAUUUAUUUCCACAGACAUUGCUGUUUUCUUCUAUAAUACCUAUCAAGACAAUCUUCAAUUCAUUUUUAAAACCAAAUUGUUUUUAAAGUAUUCAGUAGGAAAAAGUGCAAAGAAUAUUAAAUUAUGAAUAACCCCAAUCCAAUUUUUAAGACCUUUUUAAAUCCAUGAUUGAAUGUUUAAAACUGCACUUUACAGAUAAUGAAACGGUUGUAUCUGUGAUAUCAAAUCUGUUUAUGUAACGUCUGC